UCUGGUAUGAGUCUGGGGAUGUCAUGCGUGGCUUUUAUAUGUUCAGUAUGAAAGAAUUGCUCUAGGCUCACUCACUGUAAUAUUCUAUCAAUUUUACCCAUUACAUUUACUAUAGGCUCUUGUUGUGUUUGCAAAUGCAUGGAUCGGACGUUCCACUUGUCCCAUUAUCUCUAGAUCUAUCCUUGUAAACUCUAUAAAUAUCGCCAGAGCUAAGGCUUCAGGCAAUUCAUACGCCGAGGUUGCUUUAAGUUUCUUGGAAACUUAUAGGCUUAGCAAAUAUAACUACUUCAGUCUCUAGCUAGCUAGGCAACUACCAGCUUGCUUAGUUUAGCUGAUUUGGUUAUUCCCAUCUCUCUCACUCUCUUUUCAUAUAACCAGUUGUCUUUCAAUCUCCCAGCCUGAUCCAUGGCCCAAAACAAAAUUUUAAUCUUCGCCUGUCUUUUUUUUGUUUUGAUUUUCACCCAAGAAACUCGGUUCAUUGAGGGAAUACGUUUGCUUGUAGGGAAGAAUAACGAAUUUCAAAUGCUCCAAACUCAUAACAAAAUCCAUGAAAAGGAAAUUAAUAAGCACAGAGGUAAGUUCCACGAUGAUCAUCGUGACAUGACGGCCACGAGCGAUGCAAUUACUCAUGAAGCCAUAUUACUGUCUCCUCCUACAGCAGCAGCUGACGAAGGUGUGGCACCUCCCCCGCCGUCUCCAGCUAAUGCCAUGAUCACUGAUUUCAGGCCAACAACUGAAGGUCCCAGCCCUCCUGGUAGUGGGCACCAUCCAUAACUAGGAAAUGACUUCAUUAUCUGCGUUUAGAUGUAUCAUUAAUAAUGGUGUUGUGCUUCAAUUGCCAAUUAAGAAUUUCUGGUUGUAGCUAGCUAGGGUUGAAUUUUCUUCCAGCCUAUUUCUUGUAAAAAAACAAAAACCUGUAUUAUUCUAGUUCUAGUUUCCGCUCAAUUUAGUUAUGUUGUAACUUUGGACGAGUGUCCAUACGGACAAUAAGGCGUUGUAAUUUGUGGCUUUCAUCAAUUUGUUGGGUUUUCAAUGAAAUCUAGCUAAUUAUGCUA